CUCUCUUUUAAAAGUUUCACAGUUGCCUUUCGGGUGAUGCAAUUAAAGCGUUUUUACUUUGCUGUUGCACAUACCUGUAACUCCAGCAUCCGGCGUGAGCAGGCCGGCCUGGACUACAUCGGAAGAACUUCUCUCAAAAAAAACCCAAAAAACAAAAAACAAAAAAAAAACCCAAAAAACUACCAAAACCCCACCUUUCGUGUGUCUCAAAAUAACAGUGUAGAAAUUAAGAGUUGCUAUUUAGAAUAGUAGUAAAUGUGUGCUCACGCCUCCAACAAAAGCGGAUACUUUUUACCAUUCUUGUUAAAAUCAGGUGGAGCGCAAGAGUCCUUAUCAGCUGGGAACGGCUCGAAUCUAAACUGCUAAAGUAAAUCACGUGAAUUAUAUAUGUACUAUGAAAAAAACUCUUCUGUCUUAAUUUCAACACGGCCUCAAUUGAUGGUUUUUGAGUUUUUUUGUUGAUUAAAAACAUCUUAAUGUUUUUUAUGAACGCUACCUUUUAAAAAGAAAUUAGUUUUAUUUAAACACAUUCAUAUUAAAUUUUUUUAGCAAAAUGCAGUUAUCACCAGGUGGAUUGUAGACUUCAUUAGUCAUUGUCAUUUAUAAUUUUUUCUAUUUUACUUUUAAGUGUGAGUUUUGUCUAUACAUGUCUCUUUACCAUGUACAUGCAAUGCCUGUUGAGGCCAGAAGAGGGCAUCCAAUCCCCUGGGAUUGGAGUUUCUGAUGGUGUAUGGCUGCCCGGUGAGAGUUGAACUCAGGUCCUCUCAGAGCUCUUGACUGCUGAGACAUAUCUCUUCAGCCUUUAAUCCAGAUUUUAAAAAUCGAAUUUACUUGUCUACUUUGUGUGUGUGUGUGUGUGUGUGUAUGUAUGUGUGUGUAUGUAUGUGUGUGUGUAUGUGUGUGUAUGUAUGUGUGUGUAUGUGUGUGUAUGUAUGUGUGUGUGUGUGUGUAUGUGUGUGUGUGUGUGUGUGUGUGUGUGUGUGUGUGCGUGCGCAGAGAGAUCAGAGGGCAGCUUUCACAGUUGCCUCACCUUCCACUUUUGCCAUCCAGGAUUGAAAUUCAGGAUGUCCAGUGCAGCAGUAAGUGUCUGCCCACUGAGCCAUCUGGCUGGUCCUGAACUUGCCUUUCAGGGCGAGAACACUGCAAGGAAAGUUUCUUCCCAGCAGGGCAUGUGUAAAAGAGGUUUCCAGAUAGGGAUGCUCUGGUUGUAAAUGGAGGUCCAGCCGUCUGGGUCUGGGUGGUUCUGGGGCACACUCAGGGAACUGCCAUGCUGAUUAAUCCUUCCAGGCUGUGUCAACAUGUUCUAGACUUUUCUGACUUUUCCUUACAACGUAGGUGCCUGUGAACAUGUUUUUCCCUUAGUUCCCCAUGUAACCUAUAUGGACGAAGGCCCUCACAGGAGGAACAGAGGAACACAUCUUGAACUAUUUACCGUUUGGGGGAACCUGUCUGUGCAGCUGGGACCUGUGUGUGGACAGGAGCUGUGAGGGCCAUGCCUUCCUAGGUUCCAGUGCCAGUCAGAGGCCGUUUGAUAACUUCUGUUUUCGGUGGUGGACAGUGGUUUUGUCUUGGGGUUUCUAUAACCGAUGAAACACCGUGAGCAAAAGCAAGUUAGGGAGGAAAGGUCCUAUUUCCCUUCAGGAAUUCAGGGCAGGAACUCAACUAGGACAGGGGGUAGGAGUCAUGGAGGAGUGCUGCUUCCUGGUUGUUCCUCAUGGCUUGCUCAGCCUGCUUUCUUAUAGGACCCAGGACCAUCAGCCAAGGGAUGGAACCACCCACAGUGGGCUGGGCUCCCCCUCAUCAAUGACUGAUUAAGAAAAUGCCCUGCGGUUCUGUCUACCAUGUCCUGAUCUUGUGCAGGCUUGUUUUCCCAGUUGCCAUUCCUUCUUCUCAGAUGACUCUAGCUAAUGUCAAGUUGGCAUAAAGCCUGCCAGCACAAUUUCAUUUCAAAUUAGUGCAUGCUUAGAGGUACCUGGAAACGGGGAUUUUGUACUAGGGAACAUUUUAGCAAUGUCUUACUUUAUGUUGGUCGUUUCUGUUAGGGGAAAGCUUCAAGCAGAUCUCAACUGUGAAGAAACAGUUCACCGGACACUGUUAUUAGUAGGUGGAUACAAUUAUGGUGUAGGGUGUUCAAAACAGAAGGUAGUCUUGGUGUAGCCUAAAGGAACAGAAGGACUAAGUCAGAGCUGCUCAAAAUCCACUCUUUCUGCCAGAAAGUUGUUCUAGAAGCCAAACCCUGCUAGCAAGCACUUGGGCAGAAAGUCCGCUCGGCUUUUAUUCUACAAAGGUGGUGAGUGUGUCUUUCCCCAUUUGCUGUGAUCCAACUUCAUAGUCUUCUGAGGUUGGCUGGUUUUUGUUUUUAUGCAUAUGUGUGCUUUGCCUGCGUCUGUGUCUGUGUACCAUGUACAUUCCUGGUACCCUUGGAAGCUGAAAGAGGUCAUCCCAUCUCCUGGAACUGGAGCUUUGUGCACUCUGGGAGCUGGGAACAGGACUUGGGUCCUCUGCAAGUGCAGGCAGUGCUCUUAACGACUGAACCACUUCAACCAGCCCAAUUCAAAGUCCUUUUUAAAAAGACUGUAAAUGUGAUAUCCGUUCAUCUUUUACCUCUGUGCGUUUAUGAAGUUAGAUAUGUCUAGAUUUUUUUUCAGUGUUUCUGAGGUAGCGUUUUAAAAAUUGUUAAUAUUUAUUGGGUCUAAUUUUAAUUUUAUUUAUUUUAUGCGUAUGGGUGCUUUGCCUGCAUGUGCAUUUAUGUAUCAUAUGGGUGCCUGGCCUUGAGUCCCCUGGGACUGGUGAUACAGAUUCUGGGUAUUGGGACUCAUACUCAGGACCUCUGGAGGAGCCUGAACUCUUUUAGUUGAGUGUGACCUUGAACCAUGAUCCUCCUGCCUCCACCUCUCAAGUGCCAGGAUUAUAAGAAGCCUGACUUAGACUUCGUUAAAUGAGUUGUGAUAACAAGAUGUUCUCGCUCCCCUGUGUCAUUGUCGUUUAUUUUUGUGUUUAUAGGAGCUUGUGUACGAUUAGCAACAUAGGAAGCUCGUUUCUUCCUUCCUCUGUCUGGACUCUGGGCUGCUGUAUGCAUGGCUACCCUCCUUACCUGUUUGGGCUUCCAUGCCCCACUGUGGACUUGAGGGUGUCCUGCCCAGGUACCUUGAGGGUACCUUGUUCACCUCCUUUCUUACCUUUGCCCUGGUGGUUCAGGUCUGCCCUCUAAGGAAGACAGGGGAAAGGAGCCAAUGUGCAUUUUAUAAAGCAGUAUUUUAUGUGCACAGAGAUUUGGAGAGUCCUGUGUGGAGUGCCUCUUGUUUUAUGGCCCCAGGGUAUGGAUCCCACAGGUAGCUGACCUGUUCGGAUCUCUAAGAGCACAGGCGUCUCAGCCAGCGUGUAUAUGUAGGACAGUGAAAGUCACUCAGGUGUUGGCUGAGCGUGCUGCUCCAGUGCUGUGAUUUGAUACCAGUACUAGGGGGUGGAGACAAGAGGGUUAACAGUUUUGAGGCCAGCCUGGGGUAGUUUUGAGACAAGCUAAACUAAGCAAAAAUCACCACGAAUGAAGGGAGGAAAUUGUAUUUGAGCAGGUAGAGUAAGGAAACCCCUAACCUGACUGCUCCAUUAUUAAAGGGAAGGUUCUUAUUGGGGAUGAGUGAGAGAUGAUAUCCAGAGGCCACUGGAAGAGUCUAGAGCAGAGAGAAGAGAAAGCAGACUGGACAUGGCCAGAGCUGGGGAAGCAGGAGAGAGCAAGACCGCAUACAGGGAGAGCCUCCCUGUUCACCUGUAGUGAGAGAGGGACUCGCUGGAUUGUAAGGAGGAUGAGUAACUGUGGGUACCAAACCUGUGAGCUAGAGAGUCUAGAGUAGAGGGGGUAAGGCAGACUGGGGUGCUAGUGUGGAAUUUGUAAUGUAUAAGAGAAACUUGUGAUACCGGGGGAGCCUGGAGGCCAGCAUGGGCUUCGAGAUGCUUCGAGCCAUAUGUCCCUUCCACCAGAGGUCAGGGAAAUGACUCCUUGGGGGGGACAGAAAACCUGUUUCACAGGUUCCUGAGGAACACUGGCUUCUACCAGUCAAAAAUCCUGCUAUUGACCAGCUGGACAUCUAACACAAAUGACCUCAGAAACACAAAAGGACAGGAAGAGAUGGGGUCACACCGGUGAGUCCAGGGGAGGCUUUCUUUCCUAAUGCUGUUCCUCAGCGGAUCCUUUGUACACAGGGAUUGAGGGAAAGCAGCCUAGAAGGGUCCUUUAAACACAGGAACCCAGUGCUCAGAUUCUCGUGUCCACCCUGUUCUGCUGUAGUGGCUGUGACUAAUACAUUGAGCGAUUCUGCAUGUGGGUCACACAAGUACGGUGAUUGCUCAUUUCUGUAUUUUAAGUUGGGUGUCCUUUUUAUGAACACUUUUAUUCUGCUUUUGAAGUCUGCUAUCUUUUGUUUAUAAGCAUGUACAUGAGGCUAUCUUUUAUCACUCUGAUGCCGUUUUGAUAAACAGAAAGCUAUAAAGUAAUAAUCAGAGGUUGUUGUGUAAUUAAAUAACUAAAGGUCCUCUGUGGUACCUGCUGCACUGAAACACUUUUUUUUUUUUUUAAAUAGAAGUAUCUAAGCCCUGUGGAUUUUAAUUAUUGGGAGGGAAGGCAAACUUCAAGCCUCCGCCUGGAAAGAAAGACUACUAAAUGAGACAGCAGACAGAGCCCUGGAGGACGCGAUUGAAACAUGUCACUAGAAAUGGUUUAAGUGGAGAGUUCUGGCCCUUUCAAAACACUGCCUGUCACUUGAGGAUUGGGUCACCUUGAAAUGUGUUCAUCUUUGAAUUAAAGGCAUGAAAAGGCACUUUGAAAAUUUUCAGUCGACUUUGGUGUGUGUUGUGAGCGUCUGUGGGGUGUACUUCCUCUGCUGUCUCCCCAAAACAGUCGGUUCCCUGGAAACCAAAGUGGUCGCAAGAGGAGGAUAAAUGUUUAAUCUCUGCGCCAACAACCCUACAUAGUUUUUUAAAAUGCUGAGCCACUUACAUCCCAACUCCUUGCUCUCUUUGUAUACUCGGGCUCUCCUCCUGCAAAGACAUGGCAGGCAGAGAGCCGCUGCUGGUAAUUGCUCUCCAAAAGGGCGCCUCGUGGCUGGUGCCAGGGUUGUCUUAGGCUCUCGCUAAUGAUGCCAAGUUACGCUCGGUGAAGGAAGGGAGACUACUGAAAUUAUCCAAUCAGAAGCCUGAUUCUGAUGAGCGUUUCAGUUAACACCUCAGGGACAUACUUUUGUCCUCUUCGUUCGGACGGGAUGCGUUUGUGUGUGUGAGUGUGCAGUUCAUUCGCGUGUCUACAGAGAAGUGUCUCAGCGACUAACAGCACUGGCCACACGCGCCUCAAAGCUUGACUUCAGUCCUAGGAACCUAGAUUAAAAAUAUCAGACACGUAUCUGUAAUCCCAGCCUCCUACAGUAGGAGGUGGAGACAGGGAAGCUACAGAAACUCUAGUGCCCUCUGUCCCUAAACAUUCAGCAGGGGAGAAAUAAGGACCUGUCCGAGGGAAAAGGAGAGAACCAACUGCCCUCCACAUAUGAACCAUGGCACACACAUGCCUAAUGUACACACUUUAAUAGACAAACAAGCCAUUUAAAAUGUAAAAAUGUCUACAGCUUAGUAGGGUUUUCUAUAGUUUGUUACAACUUUUUGGUAGGACUACACAGAGAAACCCUGUCUCGGGGGAAAAUGGAUCUUUCUGCUGUUAGUAAUUUAAUUAAUGUAAAGAAAAGUUGGAUGCCUGUGUCUCUGCCGUGUGACCUUCUUAUGUCCCUCUUCCUUAUCUAGCAGUGGUCCCUUCCCACAGUUUAACUUUCGCAAGCCAGGCUGAAACCAGACAUCUGCGAGUGGUCAUCGGAGACUCUCUGCUUGGCUGUGUGUGGUUUUCCCAGGUGCACUAGGGCCACUUUGAUCUUGACAGGGACGUCUGUGCCCUGGCUUGACCGUUCUUAUUCUGUAAGAAGAGUCUCACGUGUGUUGCUGUUUAAGCACAUGAUGAUAACCAGGAGGUGAUGCUUGUGUGGACCUGGGGGGGGGGGCUCUUUGUGUCUCUUGCUGUUUUUGAAAAUCUAAAGUUACUCUAAAAAGUAUGUUUGAAACAGAAGAAUCCGGUGUACAAUCUCUGAGACUCCGAGGGCUGUCCUGGCUCUGUAUUUGAGCUGCGUGAUCCUUCAGUGGCCGUUCCUGCAGCUGUGUGGGCUGGUGUUCUAGGCUUUCCCCUUCCUUGUCUUGCUGGUGGCAAGGCUCACUGGCUUCCCAGACCAGUCGGUUGCACGUUUUGCCCUCUAGUUGACUGAACAUGACUAAACGCUGUACCACACUGCCCUUCCCUCUAUAUGUCUCAAAUCUCAAUGUUGGGUGUCUCCCUUAGUUUUUCUCUCCCCGCCAUGCCAGUUAGGCUAGCAGCCAGCGAGAUCCCGGGAGCCUCCUGCCUUCGCCUCACUUAGAGUUCCUCAGUGCCAGGAUGACGUGUACACCACAGCACUCUGGUGAUUUAGGUGGAAGCUGAGUCUGGAGUCAGGUCCUUGAGCUUGCCAAGCCAGCGCUUCGCUGAUCAACAGAGCCGCCCAAGCACGGGCCUGUAUUGUGUAUUCACUCCUCUGCCUGACGGGGUACUGGUUACAGUCUUAAUGUUUGCUUCCAUUAGAGAUGUGGUGAGGGCUCCCCCCUUUCUGCUCUUCCCAGGCAUGUGGUCCAUGGCGUCGCUGUGAGGGCUCCAAGACUUUUGAUCCGCUCCAGGAAAAGCUUCCUUUCUUUGAACUCCUUGAUCGCAUUUGUCCUUUCGGAUUUGUUUGUCUUUUAAACUUGGUAUCAUCUCCUUCCGUUUCAUGUAACACAUAAUCUUCCUUGAACUUUUUUUCAGUGUUCUUGUUUGUGCACACAAGUCCUGGUGCUCAAAGAGACCAGAGCCAUUGGAUCCCAGUGGAGCUGGGGUUAGAGGCAAUUCUGAGUCUCCUGACGUGGGUGCAGGAAAUCAGGCUCUGGUUCUCUAGAACAGCGGUACAUGUGUCUCCAGCCCCACUCUAGUGAUUAUGGAUAUAACUUGGGCUUUAGAAUCUAGUGGCCUGAGUUUCCCUUGUAGGCCUGGCAGAUACUGUGUGACCUUGAACAAGUAAUUGAGUGUCUGGGCUUCAGUGUCCUCGAUCUGUAAUUCUACCCUGGAAGAGUGACUUAGGUCAGUCCCACCAUGGAAGACUGACUUUGGUUACCAUCAACUUGAUAAUUGAUUGAUCUCCACCAGUCAAAAAUUCUGGCUGCUUUUCUAUUUCCUUCUGACGUAAUCAACUCUCAUGAUCUCCAUUCCUCCCUGUAGGCACCCUUGGUCUCUUCCAGUCUCCUGAAGUACUCUGUCUCUCUGGUGCUGACGUUGUGUGUGUGGUAGUGAAGUUUACCAUUCUGGAGAUGGGCUCUCUUUGCUAGGUCUCUGUAUCUCUAAUAUCGAUUACAACAAUAGCGUUGUUCAUGGCACAGCUUUCUGUGUGUGCCCAGGGUUCCAUGUAUCCCAGAUGGACCUUAAGCUCUGUGUGUAGCUGCGAAUGACCUUGAAGUUCAGAUCAUCCUCCUUCCCUCCUGAGUGCUAGGAUUUAUGUAUGUAGCACCACAUAUGUGGUUUAUAUGGUGCUGAUGUCAAGUCUGUGCUUCUUGCUUGCUAGGGAAGCACUUUACCAGCUAAGAGACAGCCCUGAUACCCAUCCCUCCAUGGCCCUCUGGCUGACUAGUAUACCUGGACUUUCCUCUUCUGAGUUAUUGGGACCCACCCCAGCUUCUCCCACCUCCUCUCCAGCAUCACAGGGUGUGGGGGUAGGGAGAAGGAAGGGUUCUGUACUACCUAGGCAAUCCUGGUCUCUGGGUUGACUUUGGGACAUGCUGUCACAGUUCGGAACGCCUAAGACCUCAUCCACUCUGCUACUAGAAUCGUCACUGGUCUCGGAAGUCAAACUUAAAACCCUCACUCUGAUGACCUUUCCUCCUGCCUCUCUCUUAUGCCGAGGUGGAACCCAGGACAUCUUGCAUGCAAAGCAAACACCCAUCUCACUUUGUCCUUAGCCCUCCUGUAGAGAUUCAAAGCCAGGAGACAGCAAAUUGCUGUAAAAUUCAACCAUUUUUGUAUUUAGCUCUUGGAUGAUGUGAGGUGGCAUUCUAUGGGCACACAAAUGAGUCGCCCUGCUUGAAUCUCUAGCCAGUAAGAGCUUGAAUGUCAGGUGAUGUCAAGGAUGGCUCUCAGGAGGAUGGGGGACUUUUACUUCUGGUUGUGCCAGCCUCUUGUUAUCAGGGAUUCUUCCCCUCGGUAACAGGGUGGGAGGGAAGUAGGAUGUUCAGUUCUCAUCAGUGUGCAAAAGACGGACAGUCUAAAGCACUACUUCUUUAAGAAGCCUUAAAAGAUGGCAAAAUGGCACUUCAGUGGUACAGAUUCAUAUAUUCAUCUUGAGGGGACCCUGCCUGCUGUCUGUGGAAUCUGUCAUUCUUGUUCUUCUGUCCUCUCCUCUGCACCCCCAAUAUUAAGGGCUGCCCCCACCCCUGCUUAUCUUCCUGUUUCUCUGGCUGCUAAACCCUGCCCUGCCCCCUGGGGCAGGUUCCUCUAAGUAUGGAAAAAAACUCAGCUGGUCAUGUGACUUCCACCCACCUCAGGGGUCAGCAGGUCCGUGGGGCUGGCAGCAGGGAGCCUGCGUUCUUUCAGUUACAGUCACAAAAAAGCUGGAAACCUCUUAGUGGGCACAGCUUCCUUUUGGAGGGCACAGUGCUUUGAGGUUUUUGACGAUUGACACCGGAGUGUCUGAAAGUGCUGGGGAAACCGGCCCAUCUUGCCACAAAGAACUUCCUCCUAAAGAGAGAUGGUGGGAGAGCAGGUGCUUUGGGAAACAGCAUUUUGAAUCAGGGCCCAGCAGGUGGUGAUUUUCAGUCUAAUUCAGUCCAGGAGCACACACUCCCAGGCAGCCUGGACUGCCCUUGCUCAGUAAGGCUGCAGGGGCUGGUUUGCUUGUUUUGGGAAAUAAUAUCCUGUCUGCUUGUAGUUGGGUGUUAGUGCUUGUUGGCUGCCUGCUGUUGGAGGGGUAUGUCUACAGUCCUAGCUCCUUCUAUCUAUGAGUGAUGUGUGUGUGUGUGUGUGUGUGUGUGUACAUGUGUGUACAUGCACGUGCGUGUGCAUGCAUAUGUGUCUCUGUGUAUAUAUAUGUGUGUGUCUACAUGUGUGGGCAUGAAUAUGUAUGCAUGUGUUCAUGCAUGUGUGUCUCUGUGUAUAUAUGUGUAUGUGCAUGCAUGUGUGUGUAUGCAUAUAUGUGUAUGCUUGUGCAUGUGUCUCUGAACAUAAAUGUGUAUUUACAUGUGUGUGCAUGCAUAUGUGUGUAUAUAUAUGUGUGUGUGUACAUGUGUGGGCAUGAAUAUAUAUGCAUGUGUUCAUGCAUGUGUGUCUCUGUAUUUAUAUGUGUAUAUGCAUGCAUGUAUGUGUGCAUAUAUGUGUAUGCUUGUGCAUGUGUCUCUGAACAUAUAUGUAUAUUUACAUGUGUGUGCAUGCAUGUGUGCGUGCAUAUAUGUGUGCAUGCUUAUGCAUGUGUCUCUGUACAUAUACGUGUGCUUGCAUGUGUGUGCAUGCUUAUAUGUGUGUGUGGACAUAUAUGUAUAUGUGCAUGCAUGUAUGUGUGUCUGUCAAUGAGUGUGAAUACAUAUAUGUAUAUCUGAUGUGUGUGUAAAAUAAUUAUUAAUAUUCAGUAUAUAUUGAUUAAAGCUGGAAAUUGAUAUGACAGCAGUUAUUCCUUGACUAGCUAUUUCCCCAAAUUAUCACAGAGACUUUUUAAUAUUUCAAAGUUUAGGCCUUAGCUGGGCAGACCCUCAGGUAUCUCAUCUAAACUAACCAGACCACGUAGCCCCAUCCAGCCACAUAGCUAGCUGUACCUUCUAGGCCCACAGUCAUGUCUUUCUCCUGUGAUGGCUACUGACAAAAGUACCCUUGUCUUUCUUCCCAGAGUUUCUCCCUCCCAGGAAGUCCUGCCUUCUCUCUCUACUGCCCAAUCACAGGCUUUAGCCUUUUGUUGACCAAUUAACUUGGGGAAUAAGUCUUCUGGCCCGGUGUAUCUGACAGACAUAUUUGCAAGGCAGGAGUUACGAAGGACUUGCCUACUGGAUCUUGGCAGAGCUAGGCAGUUACUUCUGCCUGUGUUCAAGUAUUGUCCAUUUUGGAGAGCAUUCUGUCAGCAGAUGAAGUUAGGGCAUUUUCUUUGCCUGGUGGCUUAGCCUGUCACAAAUGAAGCCAUCUCCAAAUGGGGGUCCUUUGAUGCGCAUCAUCUUUCAAGUUGAGCGGGGCGCUGUCUGGAGCUGUCAUGUGUCUAUGUCAAAAAACCCUCACAUCAAUAAAAGCACCUUUAAAUGCCA